rfam:Schistosoma margrebowiei strain Zambia genome assembly, scaffold: SMRZ_scaffold0004315
GUCAAGCUGACGAGUCCCAAAUAGGACAAAACGAGCGUCAAACUCGAU